ACGGCCUAUGGGUUGUAAACCUCUUUUUUCAGGGAGGAAUCAAAUGACGUGUACCUGAAGAAUAAGCAUCGGCUAACUCCGUGCCAGCAGCCGCGGUAAAACGGAGGAUGCAAGUGUUAUCCGGAAUCACUGGGCGUAAAGCGUCUGUAGGUGGUUUAGUAAGUCAACUGUUAAAUCUUGAAGCUCAACUUCNAAAUCGCAUUCGAAACUAUUAGACUAAAGUAUAGUAGGGGUAAAGGGAAUUUCCAGUGGAGCGGUGAAAUGCGUAGAGAUUGGAAAGAACACCGAUGGCGAAGGCACUUUACUGGGCUAUUACUAACACUCAGAGACGAAAGCUAGGGUAG
rnacentral:rRNA from 1 species